GUUCACGUCUAUAGGAAAUCUGCUGAAUUUGAUCGCAGACCCCACCCCCCGCCUUUAGAUUUGUGUUUUAUACACAUCUCCGAGACCACGUGACCGGCCGGAAUUACGGCUGGCGUCCUACGUCUGGAAUAAAUAAGCGCUGAAAGCAUCUAAGUGCGAAACUAGCCACGAGAUGAGACUUCCUCAUAGGGCCGUUGGAGAUUACAACGUUGAUAGGUCACAGGUGUACAGGUUGAGAGACCAAAUCCGAGUGAUACUAAUAACCCGAAGCUUUCCGCGC
rnacentral:rRNA from 1 species